rnacentral:rRNA from 1 species
AUUGAACGCUGGCGGCAUGCUUUACACAUGCAAGUCGAACGGCAGCGCGGGGCAACCUGGCGGCGAGUGGCGAACGGGUGAGUAAUAUAUCGGAACGUACCCAGAAGUGGGGGAUAACGUAGCGAAAGUUACGCUAAUACCGCAUACGAUCUACGGAUGAAAGUGGGGGACCUUCGGGCCUCAUGCUUGUGGAGCGGCCGAUAUCUGAUUAGCUAGUUGGUGAGGUAAAGGCUCACCAAGGCGACGAUCAGUAGCUGGUCUGAGAGGACGACCAGCCACACUGGGACUGAGACACGGCCCAGACUCCUACGGGAGGCAGCAGUGGGGAAUUUUGGACAAUGGGCGCAAGCCUGAUCCAGCAAUGCCGCGUGAGUGAAGAAGGCCUUCGGGUUGUAAAGCUCUUUUGUCAGGGAAGAAACGGUAGGGGCUAAUAUCCUUUGCUAAUGACGGUACCUGAAGAAUAAGCACCGGCUAACUACGUGCCAGCAGCCGCGGUAAUACGUAGGGUGCAAGCGUUAAUCGGAAUUACUGGGCGUAAAGCGUGCGCAGGCGGUUUUGUAAGUCUGUCGUGAAAGCCCCGGGCUCAACCUGGGAAUUGCGAUGGAGACUGCAAGGCUUGAAUCUGGCAGAGGGGGGUAGAAUUCCACGUGUAGCAGUGAAAUGCGUAGAGAUGUGGAGGAACACCGAUGGCGAAGGCAGCCCCCUGGGUCAAGAUUGACGCUCAUGCACGAAAGCGUGGGGAGCAAACAGG